rnacentral:rRNA from 1 species
AGGACGAACGCUGGCGGCGUGCCUAACACAUGCAAGUCGAACGCUCUCCAUUCAGUAGCAAUACUGAUGAAGAGGGAGUGGCGAACGGGUGAGUACCACGUGGGCAACCUGCCCUCACACUGGGAUAACCUCGGGAAACCGGGCUAAUACCGGAUACGACCUCGAGCGGCAUCUCUUGAGGUGGAAAGCUCCGACGGUGAGGGAUGGGGCCCGCGGCCUAUCAGCUUGUGUGGGUAUGGCCUACAGGCGACGACGGGUA